rnacentral:rRNA from 1 species
AAUUCGAUUGAGUUUGAUCAUGGCUCAGGACGAACGCUGGCGGCGUGCUUAACACAUGCAAGUCGAGCGGUAAGGCCCUUUCGGGGGUACACGAGCGGCGAACGGGUGAGUAACACGUGGGUGACCUGCCCUCAGCUCUGGGAUAAGCCUGGGAAACUGGGUCUAAUACCGGAUAUUCACUUCCUGCUGCAUGGUGGGUUGUGGAAAGUUUUUCGGCUGGGGAUGGGCCCGCGGCCUAUCAGCUUGUUGGUGGGGUGAUGGCCUACCAAGGCGACGACGGGUAGCCGGCCUGAGAGGGCGACCGGCCACACUGGGACUGAGACACGGCCCAGACUCCUACGGGAGGCAGCAGUGGGGAAUAUUGCGCAAUGGGCGGAAGCCUGACGCAGCGACGCCGCGUGGGGGAUGACGGCCUUCGGGUUGUAAACCUCUUUCGACCGGGACGAAGAGUAAUUGACGGUACCGGUAGAAGAAGCACCGGCCAACUACGUGCCAGCAGCCGCGGUAACACGUAGGGUGCGAGCGUUGUCCGGAAUUAUUGGGCGUAAAGAGCUCGUAGGCGGUGUGCCGCGUCGGCCGUGAAAACUUUCAGCUUAACUGGGAGCUUGCGGUCGAUACGGGCAUCACUUGAGUUCGGCAGGGGAGACUGGAAUUCCUGGGUGUAGCGGUGAAAUGCGCAGAUAUCAGGAGGAACA